rnacentral:rRNA from 1 species
GCCAGCAGCCAUAUCACCCUGCAACUCACAACUGGCAGCCCACUGAAGCUCAGCAGGUGUGAGCCUGGUCAGUACCUGGAUGGGAGACCUCCUGGGAAAAACUAAGGUUAGCAGGGC